UUUUUUUCUUUUUUUUCCUUUUUUUUUUUUUUUCUCCUCUU
rnacentral:ribozyme from 1 species